AUUUGAUUUUAUGUUUAUGCUGUGUGGAUAAAGCCUUGAAACUAUUUUCAUGAUGGCUAGAAAAUGAGAGAAUUUCCUGGAGGAGUCAUGCUUUUCUAAAAUCUACACUCAAAACCUACAAAAAGGGGUCACCAAAAUCAAAUCAACUCCAUGAAGAUCUGUUUUACAUGGUUUGAAGUGGACGAUCUCCU